rnacentral:rRNA from 1 species
AUUGAACGCUGGCGGCAGGCCUAACACAUGCAAGUCGAACGAGUGGCGGACGGGUGAGUAAUGUCUGGGCAACUGCCUGAUGGAGGGGGAUAACUACUGGAAACGGUAGCUAAUACCGCAUACCAUCGGAUGUGCCCAGAUGGGAGUAGCUAGUAGGUGGGUUAACGGCUCACCUAGGCGACGCUCCCUAGCUGGUCUGAGAGGAUGACAAGCGACACUGGAACUGAGACACGUGCCAGACUCCUACGGGAGGCAGCAGUGGGGAAUAUUGCACAAUGGGCGCAAGCCUGAAGCAGCCAUGCCGCGUGUAUGAAGAAGGCCUUCGGGUUGUAAAGUACUUUCAGCGGGGAGGCGUUACCCGCAGAAGAAGCACCGGCUAACUCCGGGCCAGCAGCCGCGGUAAUAC